GGUGGAGAUGCUUCCGAGACGAAAGCACAGAAAGCAAAUGCAGAACUUCCCUGCCUCUCCGUCCUUCCCUCAUUUUGAACAGAGACAGCAGCUACCUGUGACUGCCCUGGGGUGAAUGUGCAGCAUCUGGGGUAAAUUUCUUCCCACGCCUGCCCGCAGCAGUCGAGACAGAAGCUGGCACAGGGCUGCCCUUCUUGUGAGCCAGGCAGCAAAAACCAGGCGCUGAGGCUCAGAACUGCUGACUCAAGCCUCCAUGAAGGAACAGAAAUCCAGAAAGCCGGGCCAGAAAUAGCAUCCGUGAGCAUCUAUUGAUAGCAUAAAGUCCGUGGGCAGAGUCCCAGUUCCCACCCUGAGUCCUGCCAAACAGUGCUGCAACAGUCAGCGUUCUGGCCACAGAGAGUGAGGAUGCAGGAUGGCUCGGCCCAUUUCCCCAACUACGUCAGUCUGGACAGAUGUCUCAGGCUGUGUUGGCAGAGGCACUGCUGGUACCACGUGCCAACCUCGGGACAAGCUGCCUCCUCUUGGAAAUGAAGCAGGGACGAUGCACCAGGGAAUCAUGUCAUCAAGUCAGCCGUGUCAACACGCGUUUAUGGAAUGGAAUGGAAUAGAGUAUCACUGCAGCCCACCAAGCUGAAGCCAGCGGGACAGCCCAGCACCCACUCCGCGGCAGCUCACAUUUCGGAGACUGAGCGGGAACCAGGGGACCCAUCAAUGCCUCCGCGCGUCUCACCGGCCGGUGACGUGGCUCAGCGUAGUUAUGCUCAGUCUGCCCCGGACCCAGUGGGCCUCAGAGGCAAGAGAACAAUGGAAACUUGACCUGCGUAACCAAGGAAUGAUGCCACGAGAGCCCAGUUUGGUCAGCGCAGAGUCUAAUCCCCGGAGACCCUCAGCCCAACAACCCAGCCCCUUUCCCUAGUGAGGCAGAGAGGCUCAUCUGCACCCCGCCUACAAGGCAAAGUGCCGCGCUGGGGAGCGGACUGGCGAACUGGCUCCAGAGCGAAGAUGCAUCAUGUUUUCCAAAGGGCUGACUUCUCUAACUCGGGUGGAGGGAAUGGGGAGGUUUCUGCCCUUCCCCUCCUGCGCAGGAAAAACUCUGGAGUCUUGGAGAAGUGUUGACAGAGGGAAGGGAGCAAUUUGGGGCAGCUGCCCAGGGCGGGUGGGGCCGGGAGUGUGGGGGCACCUCACAGGAAAGCCUGAAGAGCCAACGCCACAGCCGCCACAGUCUGCAGCUCAGGGUAGCAUUUCUCAAGGGGUGUCUCCUGGGCCUCCUGCCCAGCACCGGGGAUCCGGCUUCCUCCUCCCUGCAAGAAGCUCAGCUGCUUCUCCCAUCCCGUUUCUCCCGCGUCUAUCCAGACAGCCCUUGGCCAGGUUUCCAAGUCACCAAUUCCUAGGGGACAGCUGUCCGCAGCAGGGAGUGAGAGGCCAACUCUGAACAGAGAUGAUGCUUGCGUGGGCUCACACCCACACCCACUCAGCUCAUGUCCAACACACCAGGCUCUUUGCCACAAGCUCUCAGAGGUCAGCUGUGGCUGCCUUGGUGAGGUGAGGGCUUUCAGCUUGUAUUCCUGGAAAUUCUUAUUAUCAGACCCCUCGCCUGGCUUCAGCCUCGUACAGCUCUCCAAAGAGCUGACAGCUCUGGAAAAGUCAGGGUGACCUGCUGACCCCACAAAGCCUCAGGAGGGCUACGAUGGAGGGGAAAGGAAGGCCCAUCAGAAGCGUGGUGACUGCAGCAAUGGUCUCCCUCCCAGGCAGGGAUAGGAGGCAGAGACUUGAAGCUCUCUCUCCUUCCCAGAACCUCACUUUUCUCCCUCUCAAAGUCACAUCUGUUCUCCCCAAGGCCUACGGCCUAAUGAUUACCAAUGAGAGUGGGGGGAGGGGAGUGUGAAAACUCCUGGAGAAAAGCCAUUUGCACUGGAAACGUGGGAUUGUGUCAUCGUUUCCACAGCAGCCGCAAGAAGCAGGAAGAGGCAGCAGGAAGUCACCCAGCAUGUUUGCAAGAACAGAGCAUCUGUCAAUUCUGUAAUAAGAUGUGCCCUGGGCUUUCUUUGUCAAUACACCAGGUCUCACUGCCUCGCUGCUCCCCUCCAAACCCAAAGAGAGAAGACAAAGCCACAGAUAUGGCGGGCACUGCAGCUGCCUGCGCAUAACACCCAGAAGGCACGCUGGCUCCAACAGGCGAUGCCUGGCUGGUGGCAGGAACCCAUGGAAGACGUAUUUCCAAAAUCAAGAGUCCAUCCAGGACCUCAAAUUCUGGCCCAGGGCUGGGCAUGGUGGCUCACGCCUGUAAUCCCAGCACUUUGGGAGGCUGAGGCGGUCGGAUCACCUGAGGUCAGGAGUUCGAGACCAGCCUGGUCGACAUGGUGAAACCCCAUCUCUACUAAAAAUACAAAAAUUAGCCAGGCAUGGUGGCGGGUGCCUAUAAUCCCAGCUACUAGGGAGGCUGAGGCAGGAGAACUGCUUAAACCCGGGAGGCGGAAGUUGCAGUGAGAAGAGAUCACGCCAUUGCACUCCAGCCUGGGCUAUGAGAGCGAAACUCUGCCUAAAAAAAAAAAAAAAAAAAAAAAAUUCUGGCUCAGCCUGGGUGAAUAACGACUUCCAUUUCAGUGAAAUCAAAUGUUCAACCUUACAUUUUCGAAACUUGCUUUGAAAACCUCCAGGAACUCAUCCAAAGGGAAAAAACACGGUUGAUUGGAUCCCUGGAUCCAGGCCAUGGCCGCAUGGUUGAAAGCAGCUGUGGAGAGAGUCGAGGUGGAGAGUGCACUGAAGGUGAUGGAACCACAGCUGUCAGGGAGCCCCAGGAAAUGGGGGCCUCAAUCCUAAAACCACUCCUGUCUUGGCAGGCAGCUGGCCAGGUCUUUAACAAUGCAGAUCCGAUCGUAUCACUGUACUGCCUGGGGGCUUCUGGACACUCUUAAAAGAAAGCCCAAGGAGCCCAUGACCAAAGCUGCUACAAUUGGAGCAAUGAAAUAACGUAGUAUUGGGUUAUAACCCAAAGAAUAAAAUGAAUAUCCAGGAGUCCAUGCAGAUAUAAAUACAUGAUUGAAUCAAUUAAUAAAUGAAGGAGAACAGAAAAAUCUCCUGUGCAGAAAAACUCUAAAUAAUUUCUGUAGAUGUUCCACCCUAACAGAGGAGGAGCACAACUCUCCACCCCUUAAAUGUGCACACAGUGACUUCCUUCCACAGACGACAGUACUGAAAUGGGGGAAAAAAAGGAACUUGGCGGGGCGCAGUGGCUCAUGCCUGUAAUCCCAGCACUGUGAGAGGUCAAGGCGGACGGGUCACUUGAGGUCAGGAGUUUGAGACCAGCCUGGCCAACAUGGUGAAACCUUGACUCCACUAAAAAUACAAAAAUUAGCCAGGCGUAGUGGCGGGAGCCUGUAAUCCCAGCUACUCAGGAGGUUGAGGCAGGAGAAUCGCUUGAGCUUCUGGGGUGGAGGUUGCAGUGAGUGGAGAUGGCACCACUGCACUCCAGCCUGGGUGACAGAGUGAGACUCUGUCUCAAAAAAAAAAAGUAACUUUACAGUGGAGACAGUCAACAAACAUGACCUCAGCCAAGCAACUGAGGUCAAUGUCAGCAGUGAUAUGUCAUGUCGAUGGUAUGUACCCUUGAUAGGAUGUGAUGAAAAUGACACUUGAUCUCUGUUCUUCCUCCCAGAACCCACAGGCCCAGUCCAAUCAUGAGAAAAGCAUCAGACAAAUUCCAAUAGUGGGGCAUCCUACUAAAUACCCAACCAGAACUCCUUAGAACUGUCAAGGUCAUCAGAAACAAGACAAGUCUAAGAAGAAACAGCCACAGCCAAGAGGCACCUACAGAAACAAAAUGGAAAUGUGGUUUCCUGGAUGGGAUCCUGGAACAGAAAAAGGACAUUAGGGAAAAACUAAGAAAACGUGAAUCAACUAUUGUAUUAGUUCAUUUUCUGUUGCUUAUAGCAGAAUACCUGAAACUAGAUAACUUAUAAAGAAAAGUAGUUGUUUUCUUACAGUUAUGGAGUCUGAGAAGUCAAAGGUCAAGGGGCAGCAUCUGGUGAGGGCCUUCUUGCUGGUGGGGACUCUGCAGAGUACAGAGGUGGUUCAGGGUAUCCUAUAACGAGGGGGCUGAGUAAGCUAGCUCGGGUCUUUCUUCCUCUUCUUAUAAAGCCACCAGUCCCACUCCCAUGAUAUCCCAGCAAUCCAUUAAUUCAUGAAUGGAUUAACCCAUUCAUGAGUGCAGAGCCACAUAACCCAAUCACCUCUUAAAGGCCUCACCUCUCAAUACUGCCAGAUUGGGGGUUAAGUUUCAGCAUGAAUUUUGGAGGCAACAAAUACUCAAACCACAGCAACUAUAGACUUUAGUUAUUAUAAUAAAGAUGUAUCAAUAUAUUGAUAACUUUUUUUUUUUGAGAUGGACCUCAGGGUCCAUGCACAUGCUGUUUCUCCCCAACAAUAUCUAUUCUCUUCUGUAUCUUCAGCAACCUCCGGCCCAGCCCACACAUAAACCCACUCAGCCUAAGCUCUCAGUCGAUUCCCUGGGAAGCCAUCCUCAGCUACCCAGACUAAGUGAGGUUGUGGGUCGCAUCCAUCCAGGGUGCUGCACUUCUCCCCUAGUAACUCAUUGCUCCAUGUCUAUCUGCCAGCACUGGAUGCUCCUUGAGGGCAGGACGGUGCCUGUCUUCCAGACCUCUGUGUCCUGUCCCUAGCACAGUGAUUGGCCCAGAGUAAUCCCAAGUUCAUGUUGCUGAAUGGCUCAGAUGUGUAAAUGAAUGAGAUUCAGAAGCAACCCACACAGAGUGGGCUCCAGGGCUAAAGGUGAGAUCACCCAGUGUGCCUUCUAUGACAGGUUGAGAGCCGUGAGCCCAUCUGACCUCAGGAAAGAAAGACAUAGAGCAAAUGGGUACCACUUGUGUCUGCUGGUGCCAGGAGGCACCAGAGAUGCUCUCUGACCCUAACACUGCAUCAGCAAAAGGUCUGAAGGUUGAAAUUUUUAUUUUAGAUUUCAUCAAAAAUCUACUCUAGCCCUUGGAUAAGUUCUUUUAAAAAAAAUGAGGUAUAACUUACAUACCAAAAAAUAGUAAAAUUCACUCUUUUUAAGUAUAUAGUUCCACAAAUUUUACAGAACAUUUCCAUCACCCCCCACAAAGAUCUCUUCAUGCUCAUUUGUAGUCAAUACAAAUCCCAGCCCCCAGUGCCCACUGAUCUGUUUUCCAUUCCUUAUUGUUUUGCCUUUCCCAGAAUCUCAUCUAGACUGAAUCAUGUAGAAUGUAGUCUUUUGAGUCCAGUCUUUCUCACUUAGCCUAAUGCAUUUGCGAUUCAUCAAUUUAGUUGCAUGAAUCAAUAGCUUGUUCCUUUUUAUGGGUGAGUAAUAUUCCUUGGCAUAGAUAUACCACAAUUUGUUGAUCCUUUCACCAGUGGAUAGAUAUCUGGGUUGUUUCAAAUUUGGGGCAAUUAUGAAGAAUACAUGCAUACAAGUUUUUAGGUAGACAUAUAUUUUCAUCGUUCAUAGGUAAAUAUCUAAAAAUGGGAUUGCUGGGUCAUAUUGUGGAUUUAUGUUUACCUUUAUAAGAAACUGAAGGGCAGAAUAUUUGAGAAGAGUAAUUGUAUUUCUUUCUCCAACACAUUUUGGUUGUGCACCUACUAUGUCCAAGGCAAACCAAGGGUGUUUCCCCAAACAGCUGGGGAUGUUCCUGCUCCCCAACCUCUGCUUGUGCUAUCUCACCAGCAGAAAAGCAGACCUCCCAUACAUUUCCUUGUCCUUGGGCCAAGAAUUAUGGCAGACCAGGCACUGCGGUGGAUCCAAGAGGGGUGGAACAAAUGUUCCUGCUCUGCCAACAACAAUCUGAAGGAUGGAAAGUCCCUCUGGGACUCAGGACCAACAGAGCUGCAGGUAGAUGCCAGGAGAUACAGGACAGAGAAGAGUUUAAUGGUCUAGGUGGCAUCAUCCAGAUAAGGCAGACUCUGGUCCAGCUCUGGGCCCACCCUACUGUUACCCGGUAUUCUAGAAUAUCAUCUGCAUGUGGUGAUGUUCCCUUCCUCUGAUUUCUCUACUACUUCCCGACACUCUGGUUUGGCAGCUGGUUGUCUACGCUUUGGGCACCCCUUAUAUUCUUGCCCUCUACCAUGGCUUAGCUUUCAGCACUGUGUGCUUCCCAGCCAGCAGGAGCUCCCUGAGGACCGAGGCCUGCCGUUCUCAGCACACCCAGAUGCAUUUGGCUCUCUACAAAAUACUGUCCAAGAAUGCUCUUUAGGAGGCUUUAAUGAUUUAUAAUCAAAACCAACUGCUUGCAUGGAAACAGGAGUUCCAAAUACUUGCUCUAAUCAUUAACUUUAUGUGUCAACUUGGCUGGCCCAUUGAACCCAGAUAUUUGAUCCAACCUGUCUCAAUUUCACUGUGGAGAUAUUUUUUACAUGAGAUUAAUAUUGAAAUCAGUAGAUUUUGAGUAAAGCUGAUUACCUCCUAUAAUGUGGGUGGACCUCAUCCCAUCAGUUGAAGGCCUUAAAGGAAAAGGAUUGACCUUCCCCAAGGAAAAGGGAAUUCUGCCAGCAGAUGGCCUUGGGGCUCUGCUACAACAACUCUUCCCUACUCUCCAGCCUGCCCUGCAUUAUUUCAGACUUGCUAGCCCCCACAAUCACAUGAGCCAAUCCCUUAAAAUAAAUCCCUCUCUCUGCAUAUAUAUAUACAUAUAAAUACAUACACAUAUAGAUCAUCCAUCCAUCUAUCCA
rnacentral:lncRNA from 1 species